AUAUUCCUAAGACUUGAAAACAGAUAAAGUACAGGAUUUACAAAUAAUAUUCUCAAAAUAAACUAAUUAUUAUUUAAUUUAAUCAAACCAUUGUGGUUAUACGAAUUAUAACCAGUGGAAUUACCUACUUACAACUAUUAAAAUAAAAAUCAACCUUGAUUACUAAAGCUUUGUAAAAAGUUUGUUAAAACUUGAUUGACAUUUACAAAAAUCUAUUACAAUUAAAGUAACUCUAAUCCGCCAUUGUUUGUACUUAACUCAUGCCUAUUAAUUAGUGACCUUAUACAAGAGCAGUCCUAAUAUUUUUGACAUACAUAUAACAUUUGUAUAACCGGAGAACACAUAAUAAAUAUCUAACUAAAAUAUAAAUAUUCUACGCCAAAACGCAUAGAUUUUCUGGCUAUUUCAUUUCAGUGUCAAGGCGUACAUCAAAGUGAUUCAAAGAGGUGUACCUGGUAUUGGAAUACAAAAGAAGAGGAAGAUCAGUAGGGAGCAAUAUCAGCACACACACAGCAACAACAGUUCAGCAACCCAGGAAUAAACCAGUAACAGUAGGAAUAGCCGAAAACCCAGGAUAAUACAACCAAGCAGAAAAACCAAGAAUUUCCAAAUCAACCAAAAACCAACAGUAAACCCAAGCAACACUACUUGAAUAUUAGUAGUACCAGAAAAUACACACAAACGAAGCGGAGAAAGAACCAAUUGCAAGAGAAAGCAAUAGCUUCUGAUUUUUUUAACACUCAAAGAAAAGAAACCCCAAACUUCAAUGAAACAAUAGCACUUAAGGUUGAUUUCAACAGUGAAAGAAAAUAGAAAAUUCUCAGUAUGUAGCUCUCCAAAGUCUCCAACUCUAAUGUUUAGAAGUCUGUUUAUAUUUCCUUUUAAGUUUCUAAAAUUCUGCUCUCAAAAAUCUCCCCUCUCCACUUGAUAAAUGCGUCAUAUUAUGUACAAAGCAAGACUAUUUCCUUUAAUUCUUUUAAUUAUUAACUUUUACUUUUUAAAAAUUAUUAUUACUAAUCCAUUUACCCCUUUUACUUUCCAGCUCAUAUUCCUUUAACUAUGUGACUUUUUUAACUUUUCAUUAUUAAUCUACUAUUUCUAAUUCUCAAUCAGCCAAACAUCUCUCAUUUCUUAGUGGCCCCCUACCAACUAGUUCAAAUUAAAGCUAUUAGGACCCUACUGGACAGACCCCCUUAGUCAAACUUAUUUUCCAUUUUUGAACUUCUCCAAAUUACCCCUGAAUCAUGAAAUUACUAUUCUACCCCCCAAACCUUCAAUCUGUAACAAAACCAUAUCGGCUAUAACCAAAUCACCUACAUAAGCAAACCUACCAAUCGGCUAAUUAAACACAUGAAACUAAUUUCCAAUCAACAACAUUAAAACAACAUGGUCAGAUGAACACCAAAAACAAACUUAUCAGAACAAACAACCAGAUUCAAAUCACAAAUCAUACUAAAAUUAAAGUAAAAUAUCAAGAAAAACUUUUAAAGAACCCAGUUACAUUUACACCUUAAUCACUUGCACUAAAUAAUCCAUAUGGUUUUGACUUUUGAAGAGGAAGAAAAUAACAACGCCUCUUGAAAGUAAUCAAAAUGAUCGGUUCAUUUUGCCUUGCUUCAACAAUCUUAACGUAACCAAAUAUAUAGUGGGUCUGAAUCUGGAAAGUGUUGCUUUGUAUAUCUAUAAUCACAUAAGUAGAAAUUUGCUACUUAAACUAACAAUGAAACUCUACAAGCAAAUAAGAACAAAUAAGACAGAUUUCACAAGGAACGACAUGCAAGGUCAUUAAUAUUAUGACAGAACAAAACAAAUAUGAGAGAAAUGAAGCUUACAUUGAGCCUUCAUCGAAAUGACACCGAGAACCUCGGCCUCGACUAAACUCGGACCAACGAAACUCAAACAAGUCUCACAACAAGACGGGAACUUGAUCGGCGACGAACACUCAACAAAUUCCUACGCUGACUGAAUUUAAACUCAUCUCUAUUGAAGCCAAAGGACAUAAAACUCCGAGAUCCAAAUGACCUUUAUAACAAACUAGCUGCGAGUUCGCUGACUUCCACCAAACUGUUGUGAACCGAAAGAGGCAGAAGCAGCGAUGGGUGAAGAGAAACGAGCUGCCGUGACUGCGACGGGGCGUGGAGGGCUCGCUAGCGUGGCUGGUAAGGGAGGAGGGGGCUGUUUGGCGAUGGUUCGUUAGGGGGUGAGGGUGACGGGUUGGAGUGGUGAGGGAGAUGGUGGUUUGUAGGGUGGUUUAGGGUUUGGAGGUGUGUGUUUGGAGAAGAUGAAGAGAAGGGGGUGGGGUGUAAGGUGUGAUGGCUAGAUAGUUUAGGGUGUGUUUAGGGUUUUGCUUUUUGGUUAAGUGAAAGAAUGGGGAAAAAUCUGAAAAAUCAAAAGGGAGGGGUGGAAAUGGACCUAUUCAAGGAGUUUUGGGUUGGGUAUAAUUGGUUUGGGCCUGGG
rnacentral:lncRNA from 1 species